AAAAAUAACUGGUUCAUCACUGCAACAAGCUGAUCACCAUCGGAACCCCUGGUCUUUUCUACUUUUUCUAACUGCCCUCUCCCUGCAGGAAAAAAGCCAAUCUUCUCAAGAAUCUUACUUCUCCACAGAGGCUCUGGCCACAUUCAGACACCAGUUCCUGAGAGAUCUGUGCAGGAGAGCCCAGCUUCUCAGCACUGUCUGUAGAUCCUCAGCUCUGAGAGCUCAGCUGCCUUCCAUUGGACAACAUCUGGUAGCAGGAAGAACUGAAGCAGCACUUGGUAUCCAGGCAGUGUGGGACAGGGUUCAGAGACGGCGAAAGGUGGUCUGCUACCAUCAGCUUGGCAUCUCUGAGCUCCAAAGGGAGGAAUCCGAUUGAGAUCUUCAAGUGCAGUUCUCUCUCUGUGCCCAGUGUUUGUCUGUGGGAGUCUGUAUCUAGAGCCCUCUGAAAGGUAUCAAUCGGCCACUCCAAACACCAUCCAAUAAGAAAUACAAGAAGCACUCUGAAGAAGUCAUUGCUCCUAGACAUACCCAGACAUCCAUUUCAGCCAAAAUAAUUGAAAAAGACC
rnacentral:lncRNA from 1 species